AGUAACUGCGAGUGAAGCGGCAAAAGCUCAAAUUUUAAAUCUGGCGUCUUCGGCGUCCGAGUUGUAAUUUGGAGAGGCAUCUUCGGAGGUGGCGCCGUCCUAAGUUCCUUGGAACAGGACGUCAUAGAGGGUGAGAAUCCCGUGCCUGGAUGGCUGUCCAUCUCCAUGUGAAGUGUCUUCGACGAGUCGAGUUGUUUGGGAAUGCAGCUCAAAAUGGGUGGUAAAUUUCAUCUAAAGCUAAAUAUUGGCGAGAGACCGAUAGCGCACAAGUAGAGUGAUCGAAAGAUGAAAAGCACUUUGAAAAGAGAGUCAAAAAGUACGUGAAAUUGUUGAAAGGGAAGCGCUUGAGACCAGACUCAAUCUUUGGUGAUCAGCUGUGCUUCUGUGCAGUGCACUUGCCAUCGAUUGGGCCAGCAUCGGUUCUGACGGUGGGAUAAAAGGCAGAGGAAUGUGGCUCCUGUUUGGGAGUGUUAUAGCCUCAGUCAUAAUGCCACCAGUUGGGACCGAGGACCGCGCUUCGGCUAGGAUGCUGGCGUAAUGGUUUUAAGCGACCCGUCUUGAAACACGGACCAAGGAGUCUAACAUCUAUGCGAGUGUUCGGGUGGAAAACCCUUGCGCGUAAUGAAAGUGAACGGAGGUGGGAACCCGCAAGGGUGCACCAUCGACCGAUCCUGAUGUCUUCGGAAGGAUUUGAGUAAGAGCAUAGCUGUUGGGACCCGAAAGAUGGUGAACUAUGCCUGAAUAGGGUGAAGCCAGAGGAAACUCUGGUGGAGGCUCGCAGCGGUUCUGACGUGCAAAUCGAUCGUCAAAUUUGGGUAUAGG
rnacentral:rRNA from 1 species